rnacentral:tRNA from 1 species
GGUGCUGUAAGCUCAGCCCGGGAGUUUUAACCGAAAGCAACCGGCUGAAGACCGGUGUGUCAGGGGUUCAAAUCCCCUCUGUCCCA